rnacentral:tRNA from 1 species
AGUCUUAUAGUCAAAAUUAUGACAUCAAAUUGCAAAUUUGAAGGUAAGGAACAUUUAAGGCUU